AAAAAAAAAAAAAAAGGAGAAAAAAGAAAGAAUGUGACACCCUAUGUUUGCGCGUGGGCCAGUUCAGUGGAGCUAGCCACGAUCCUCGCCGCAAGGGAGGACAGGGCCGCGCGACAUCGCCGGAGCCCCGCCCCUCUUCUUUCCUUUCCGGCAAAUCUCCUUGCUGUGCUCCGAUUUUGGAAGGAUAGCAUGAGGAGAUCGCGGAAUUCGCAGUCUCCUCCCUCUAUUUCUUUCCUUCCUUGUCUGCUUGGGCUCACCGAGCCCUUCUUCCUCCUCCAUCUCUCUCCUUUCUCCUCUCCCUUCCCUUCUUUCUUCCUCUGCUCGGGCUCACGGUGCCCUGUCUUCGAGCCGCCGGAAUCGUGGCCGCAGCGCCUCCUCGGAGCCGAGGUGCAGCGGAUUUGCCCAACUGAACCUAGUGAUCUUUAGACGAAUCGUGGUAAGUGACCCAGGCACAAAUCUUAUUAAUUUUAAAUUACUGAUUAAUUUUAGAUAUAAAAUUAUGAAUUAUAUUUGACAUGAUUGAUCUUACAUUUUUUAAAAAAAUUAGGAUCAAGCAUAUGAUUGUAAAUGUUCCAUAUUUUUUGGCCCAAUAACAUUCUUAUUAAAUAUUUUAUUAUAAAUGAUUUAUGUAUGAAUUAUAAUUAUGAAAAAUUGUAUGAAAAUGAUAUAUGUGGCAUGAUUAUGCAAUUUAGAAAUUUUGCGAUGCCAUUUAGCACUUCUAACCUAUUUACAAAGAUAUAAUUUAUAAAAAUAUAAAAUAUUUUAUGAGUUCUCAGAUAGCCAUGACCGCCUCAAGAAGUGGAAGCCAAUCGACACCCUAGAGCUAGCAUCAACGAAAAAGGUUCUCUGCCAACAGGUUAAAGUUAAUAACGAAUAUAAACUAUGAUAUUUUAUCAAUUACGAAAAUGACCCUGUCAUGGGUUAUAGUAACUGCAGUAUGCAAAAUCUAUGAGCACUAUUUUAAAUAAAAGUAUGGAUACAUGGCAAAUAUUUGACAAUCACGAAUAUUUUAAAUUGCACCUUCAGCUUUAUGAUCUUGCAUAAUUUAUACAUACAUGAUUGAUUUGCUUCGACAUAGUUUGUUAUUAUAUUUAUGAAAUAUUUUACUUUACUAUAUAAUUUUUACUUUCUAAAUGAUUCAUUGAAUUAUGUGAAAAUUUUACUUACUAGCCGCAAAGCUCAUUUGUCUCUUGAUGUAUUUUUUUCUAAAUAAUUAAGGUUGCUAGGAGUGGAGAAGAAUAAAUGAAUGAAUGAUAAAUGAAUAGAGCUUGAAAUAUAGUUGCAAGCGAGCAAUAAGUAUAGUUAUGACUAUCAAAUUUGGGUUACGUAGUUGAGAAAAUUGAAAUGUUGAAUUUAGAUGCUCUGUACCCAUUUCUUUUCGUUUAGCAUUGAACAAAUUUUUUUUUAUCAUGUUAUAUAAAUUUUUGUUGUGGGUUUCGUGUUAUUGUGGAUAAUAUUUUAUGGUAGUACGGCCAUAUUAUGCUUCGGAUCAAGAGCGUGACAAUAAGAGGGAGAAAAAAAAAUUAGAUUGAUCCUAUUGAAUAUUAUCUGAUCUUUUAUCUUUUAAAAUAGAGAUUAUUCUGUCAUCAAAAUAGACUGACAAACAAGUAGGACAACAGGACUUAAAAAAUGUAUAAAUCGUCAAUAGGGAUCUACCCAUCGUCAAACCUAACCGGGAGCUCUCCAUAACUACUCAAUAAUUGAGGCCAAGCGCACCAGCCAUCAACUUCCUAAUAAUUGAGGCCAAGCGCACCAACCAUCAACUUCCUAAUAAUUGAGGCCAAGCGCACCAACCAUCAACUUCCUAAUAAUUGAGGCCAAGCGCACCAACCAUCAACUUCCCCAAUAAUUGAGGCCAGCCAUCCCAGGAAAGCAAGUCUGGAGGAAAUCUCUCUCUCUCUCUCUCUCUCUCUCUCUCUCUCUCUCUCUCUCUUCUGUGGGAGGUGCUUUUGUCCACCGAUCGAUAUGGAGGCACUGCUAUCAGUUGGAGGAUACAUCGCUUCCGCCGUGCUGGACAACUUGGUCAGCCAAGUGAGCUCUGAUGCCAUCCAGCAGUUCGGGCGCACUCGGGGCUUCAGGAUGACCUCAGGAGGCUGCGGACUACCCUGCUACGGACACGCUUCAUCCUUAAGAGCGCCGAGAAGAGGCGCACCAAAGACGACGACCUUGCCCAAAUCCUCCAAGAACUCAAAGACGCCGCCUACGAUGCCGAAGACUUGCUGGACGAAUUCGAAUACCAAGUCCUGCAGCAAAAGGCUGAAAGCCAAGAGAAUCAGAGAGGUAACUUCUUAUCUUCUUCUCUUACACUUGCCAGAAAUUUGUUCAAUCGUGACGGUGAUGUUGUGGCUAAAGUGAGGGAGGUUAUGAGGAGGUUAGCUAGCAUUGCUAAUGAUAUGGAAAAAGUCCAUCAGACUCCUGGAUUUAAAUGAUGAAGGAAAAAAAUAUCGGAAAUCGGGGAGACGAGAGACGAGCUCAUUCCUAACUGAACCCGAAGUGUUUGGGCGAGAAAAAGAAAAAGAACAGGUGAUAAACCUGCUGUUAAAUUCGAGAGAUGCAACUGAACCCGGUGAUGAUCUUGUCCGUGUUUGUUCAAAGAGACAAAAGAAAGACAAUAUUUUUGUUUUGCCAGUGGUCGGUAUCGGAGGGAUCGGAAAACUACUCUUACUCAGCUCAUUUACCAUGAUCCGAAGGUGAAUGGUUCUUUUGAUUUAAAGAUUUGGGUUUGUGUGUCCGAUAAUUUUGAUGUGAAAAGGCUAACUAAAGAGAUAAUAGGGUCUGUUACCCGGGAGAGACUCUGUGAUCACCAAAAUUUGAAUCGUCUCCAAGAGAUCCUUAAGGAGAAGAUAAUGUCAAAAAGAUUCUUGCUCGUCCUUGAUGACGUCUGGAAUGAUGACCACAACGAAUGGGAUCAUUUAUGUGCGCCAUUAAGGUCCGGGCUGCAGGGAAGCAAAAUCUUGGUAACAACUAGAUCUCAAAAGGUUGCAGAGAUGAUGGGCACAAUUGAGGCAGUCUUCUUAGAGGGUUUACCAAAUGAUGCCUAUUGGGAAUUUUUCAGUAGACUUGCAUUUGGUUCUCAGAACCCCAAAGAACAUCCUGAGUUGGAAGCUAUUGGCAGGAAGAUUGCUUGACAGGCUGAAGGGAUCUCCACUUGCAGCAAAGACGCUAGGAGGCCUAUUGGAUUUAGACUUGGAUGAGAGCACUGGGAGAACUAUCAUGGACAGUAAAAUAUGGGAACUAAAACAACGUGAAGAUGGCAUUAUGCCGGUCCUACAGUUGAGCUAUCAGUAUUGCCUGGAUAUCUGAAGCAGUGUGUUGCAUAUUGUUCUAUAUUUCCUAAAGGUUAUUUCUACAGAAAAGACGAGCUAGUCCAAGUCUGGAUGGCACAAGGCUUUAUUGUACCUCAAGGAAAUGUGCGGAUUGAAGAGGUAGGGAGUGAGUAUUUCGAUGAUUUACUUGGCAGAUCUUUCUUUCAGCAUAAAUGGAAUGAUGCAUAUGGGAUACAUGAUUUGAUACAUGAUCUGGUACAGGUCUGUCUCAGUCAGCGAAUAUCUAAGAAUAGAAGAUGGCAAGUGGCAGAAAAUCCCCAGCAGGCUUCGACACUAUCAAUAUAUACUCUGAAUCUGGAGCCAAGUAAGCUAAUGGACUUUGGCAAUUAUAAGAAUCUACGCACCCUUGUUUUCUACAAGGGUUUUGUAUGAUACAAACUUUUGUUCUAUACUUGAUUGCUUGUUCACAGUGUCAACAAAAUCCGUGUGUUGAAGUUAAAAGAAUGUCCGAUCACAGAGUUGCCUGAAAGUAUUGGCAUUUAAAACAUCUUCGUACCUUGAUAUCUCUUUCACCAAUAUUCGGAGGUUGCCUGAAUCACUGUGUAGCCUUUACAAUCUUCAGGUGUUAAAAAUAUUUUCCUGCCCAAUUGAGAAUUUUCCUACAUGCAUGACCAACCUAGUUAAAUUAAGGCAGGCUUAAAGUAGAUGAGAGGACAAAAUUCGGGUUGGCUGAUAUCAGGAAGUUAACGUCUCUCCAAGAGUUGCCGGUAUUCGAAGUUGUAAAGCAGAGAGGGCACAAGAUUGAAGAAUUAAAGACAUGAUACAGCUUUCGUGGACGAAUUUGCAUUAAAAAUCUUUGAGAGCGCAAAAGUGAGGAAGAGGCCACGUCAGGCUAAGCUAAUAAUAAACAGUACCUUGAUGAUUUGGCCUUGGUAUGGAAUAUUGAUAGAGGCACCAGCUCAGCAAACGAUGAUAAUGUACUGAAGGCCUCAAACCACCAUUCCAAUCUCCGAAGGCUGGAAAUCAGAAACUAUGGCGGUGUCCGAUUUCCAAGUUGGCUGGAGCACAAUCGCUUCAAAUAUUUGAAAGCUAUUUGCCCUAGAAAUAUCCAAUGCUGCGGGCAACUUCCAUCGCUUGGACAGCUGCCAUCGCCUCGAGAUUCUGUGCAUCAAAAUAUGCAUGCGGUGAAGCAAGUUGGUCAUGAAUUCUAUGGCUCUCCAGAGGUCCAAGGAUUCCUAUUGCUGAAAGAGCUGGAGAUUUCAGACAUGCUGGAAUGGGAAGAAUGGUUUGGCGCAGAAGGUAUCCAGUAUUUCCUCGACUGCUUAUGCUCCAUAUCCAGAAUGUCCCCAGCUAAGGGGUUUACCCUGCCACCCUCCCUCUCUCAGAAAUUUGUCCCUAGAGAAUGUGGGAAUAAAUAUGCUCCAGAAGCAUGGGACGGAGACCAUGGUUUUUACUGAGAGAGCAGUAUGACAGAGCGCAGCAGAAGCAGCGGCAGGACCUCUUCAAUUUAUCACAUGCGUAUCUGCCGGUGUCCAAACCUGGUAAAUCUGGGAAAAUGGCUUUUGUCGCACCACCCUGCCGACUAUCAGGUUCUUGAAGUAUUAUUGACUGUCAAAAGGUUGUGCGGGUUGCCAAAUGGAAAGGUUUAAGACUUUCUCUCCUCGAGUAUUUGACAAUCAUGGAUUGUCCCUUGCUCCGUCCCCAGUGCAGCUGAUCCUUCCUCUUCUCUCCGAGAUCUUACAUUGGGUUUCCAUGUGGUCAUCUGGAUGAGUCACUACCGGCUGCUUGCACAACCUCACCUCUCAACCUGGUUGAAGUACAAACCGCUGCCACACGUAACAUCUCUUCCAGGAGAAGUGCUCGGUCACAUGAUUGCUCUCAGAGUUUUGACUAUUUGGGACUGCGGAGAACUGAGGUCACUAGGGGACUUACGAGCUCUCAGAUCUCUUGAAAUUUUGGAUAUAGGAAAGAUGUCCUCGGCUCACAGAUUUAGCGAAUGAGGAAGAGCAGGGCGAGGUUCGGCACAUCUUCGCUUCCUGCGCAUCGACGACACUGCCCUGGUCAAAGCGCUGUUCUCCACAAUCACCCCACCUCACUUGAAACACUCCAAAUCUGGGACUCACUGACUCAUUUUUGUUCGUGGAGAGGAGCAAUUAUGGUUGCAAGGACUCAAAUCUCUCAGAGAGCCUGUCUCUUAGAAAUUGGCAACAAUCUCAGUCCCUGCACAGAGUUGCAUAGCCUUUCCACCUCCGAAUUUGGAGAUAACAAAUUGCCCUGAGAUCCGCUCGCUACCAGAAAAGGGCCUGCCUUCAUCCCUAGAAAGUUACAUUUCGAUAAUUGUCAUCCGGGUGCUGACUGCGCAAUUGCAAAGUCACAGGGAAAUGAUGAAAAAGUCGCAUAAACGGAUUUCGUAGCCUACGAGACAGGGUCUCCGUCCAUUGCUGACACACAACUUCUACAGUAUUCAACUCUCUCGCAUGGUAUAGCUGCGGCACCAACUCUCCACGUUACAACCGAUUCUCUCGUCAACAUGUGCCUGGAAUAUAUUUUUGUGCAAACAGAUGCCCGUUACUCUUUGUACGUAGCCAGCGGCAGCAAAUGGAUUGUUUCUUAAAAAGCGAAAAAAUGGAUUGUUUGUAUUUAUGAUGAACCGCAGUGCUUGUAAAUAUAUGUAGACUGAUGAUUAUAGUAGAAAGUGCGUGAGAAUAAGUAGGCAUUUUUAUUGAUGAAAAGUGAGCCCUUUUUGAAACUGAGACUUAUCUUGUACUGUAUCUAUUAUAUGGUUGAUAUUAAUAAACAUAAUAGCCGCAGUAGGCUUAGCCC